ACACGGGAAAGGAGGUGGUCCAGACUUGUAUAGCAAUCGGACUCGUGAGGUGGCUGUCCGCUAGCCGCUGUCCUCGACAGUGAUCCGUCCGCUCCUGCGGGGCGGGCAGCAAGGAACCGAUCGUCGAGACCGUGUGGCAGCGGUGCGGCGAAACCACGACAGCCACCCGACCCCCGGGGUGCCGGCCCAGUCCAGCCGGCCCGCGCGUGAGCGCGGAAGCCCCGGGGGUCGACCCUU
rnacentral:sRNA from 1 species